GCACGGUUGACCGAGUCAGGUUAGGUAGCGGAUUGCAAAUCCGUGGGGUAACCCAACGCCAGUUCGAAUCUGGCACCGUGCUCCA
rnacentral:tRNA from 2 species